rnacentral:lncRNA from 1 species
AAAAAAAAGAGGCAGAAGCAUCAAAUGAAGGACUGUUUGAAUUGGAAAACUAAUGAGUAUUUCAGGUUAUUCAAAUCCACACUUAAUCUAACACUGGAAGCCGUUCCAGCAGCAGCAGCACCUUGAGGAGGACAUCGGGAGGAGGUGAUACUUAGCAGGCCUUUCUACAGGACUCUGAAUGACACAGCUGUCCUGAGGUGAACUUCUGCCCUCCUGCAUGGCAAGAAACAGAUAUGCACGUCCUCUGUCAGCACUCUCCAUCUCCAGCAUUCAGACUCCUGCAACCUUCCCACUGGUCCACAUCCUCACGCAGUCUUCCCAGUCCUCUGCAGCAGGCAGCUCCACAAAGGGUCUCACCUCGUCAACAGCCAUUUCUUAGGAGUGUGAGAUUAGCAGAGCGGCAGCUGAAACAAAAGCUACCUGUUAAACACACUGAGGGUCAACUACAGGAGGAUGAUGCUAGAUGCUUCAAAAACAAGGCCUCAAGGUACACAGAAUAGAUGCAGAUUAUUAUUAAGAGUGACUGCAGCCCCGGUUUUCCUAAACCUCAGCUCUAGUGUCUAAAUCUGUCUUCCC